GUUUCACCAACUGGUAGAGACCCAUUUCGCAAAAAUGCCUAUUUUCUCAAACCCAUUCUCCCUAAUUCCUCCAUUUAUGAAACUGCUUUCAAGCUCCCUCACUGUUUCAGUGUUUCUCCUCCCUCCCACCCCGUUUUGACCCAGAAAAGUUGGAGCUUCAAUUCCGUGGAUGGCGUUUCGACCACCAAGAUCUCCACUUGGCUUCUAAGCACCAAUUGACAGGGGAAGAAAGCUGGUAUUUAUGAAGCCAUCUUCAAUUCCAUGUACGAAAUCAAAAAGAAAAAAGAUUUGGUUUGCGGGUUUGCAGAGAGAUGGUCUUCCGAGACCAACACCUUCAUGUGAAGCAAUAAUCACAUUGGAGGAUGUCAUGGUUUUAGGAGGACUUUUGGUUUUGGGAGACUCCAUUUUCAAUCCUAUUGAAAGCAGAGAACUGAAAGCAUUACAAGACAAACUUGAGGUUGAGCGAAUGGGACUUUACAAUCGCAAGGGUGGGUUUAGAGUUGCUUACACAUACCUAUGGACGAAGAAGUUCAUGAAGAAUGGGAGUGAAUUAAAGCACGAAGCAUUCCUUGUGUUCUGGCUGUCCAGGUGAAGGUUUUAAUUCCAUGGCCAUUAAGAACUGGAAUUUUCCUAGAAACUAUGUUGAAAAGGAAGAGUGGGUAUUGGUUGGUGCAGGCUUGGUUGACGAACUAUUGUCUAUUGUCAUUUGCGACGUGCUUGAGGGUGGCUGAAUUAGUUGGAUUUGAUACUAUUCAGCAAUACCUUCCACAUCGAGUUGCUAGGCAAUUUGGAUUUGAUCAAGACCUUCCAUGUUCUGUUUCUGGACACAGCCACAAUUAUGAUAAUGCUGAAGAUACUUGAAUUGGUUGAAGGAAUCAGUGUCAGGCCUCGAACAGAGAC